UGUGGCCUCCCCUGCCUCCUCCUAGUGUCCCACUCAGCUUUUGCAACCUAUCUUUAGCCUCCCCAGGCUCCCCAGGCUCCUUCCUAUUUUCUGAGCUCAGGCCUAGUCUUUCCUGCUGGCUGGUCUUGGUUUUGUCAACUUGCCUGCAAUGACAGACUCCUGGGACAGGUACAACAAACAAGCCUUGAGUGUGUGUCUGUGGAGGCAUUUUCAGAGAGGAUUGAUGAGUGGGACAGGACUGAGCGGGAAGACCUGCCCUCAAUGUGAGCGGCACUGUCCAAGGGGCACAGCCCGGAUGGAAAAAAAGUUGGAAGAAAAGGAAGCUUCCCUGAGCAUAUAGCUCUGCUUUUCCUGAGUGCCCAUCAGCGCUGCCAUCCGUUCCCUGCCCAUGGACUCAGACUCUGGCUUGCUCUGGAUCCAAGGAGCUUCAGGCCUCAGUGUUGGAGACACAGAGGCCUCCAUCUUCUUGGAGCGGACUCCCCGGCUUUCAGGGCUCCAGCCUUGCUGCAACACGCUUCCUCUCCAGCCGCAGCUUCUUGUCCAUGCCUCGCUUAGCUCUGCAGCAAACCCUGCGCAGCCCGGCCACUGCCAUCCUGAUUCUUCUCUGGCUUGAUCUAGUGGGCCCUUUAGGUCUGGAUGCAGACUGCUCGGCCCCCCCGGAAGUCUCACACCUGGCACCUUUCUCUCUGCCGUUCCCUCUUCUGUGUCUGUCCCGACACCUGUGCUGCCCUGCUUAACAAUUCUUAAUAAAAAUGGCCACUUGGUGAUGGCAGACACCAGCCACCCUGCUGACUGCCAACCUCCAGGUGUUCCUGAACACCUA